GACGAUUGGCGCAUGUACACCCCUUCGCCAAGAAGGCUUUGAAGAAAUGUGUUCCAAACGUUGAGUUGACGAAGACUCACUACAAAAAACCAGCGCAGUUCUGGCGCCCAUCUCCCGGCGGCCAGGCCGACGGAAGGUUACACUUGUCCGCCUGCAUAAUUUUCCCUCGUAAAUGAGAGAAAUUUUCUGGCGGCCAGGCCGACGGAAUAUUUUUUUGUAAAAAAUGCCAGCGGCCUGGCCGCCAGCUCCAAUUCACCAACGGUCGGGAAAAAGUUAUCCGGCGGCCUGGCCGCCAGCUCCAAUUUCCCCAACGGUCGGGAAGAAGUGAUCCGGCGGCCUAGCCGCCGGCAUACUAAAACCCUCAACGGUCGGGAGAAAAAUAGCUGGCGGCUGGGCCGCUGGAUACUUUUUCCCGCUUAUUUUUUUCAGUAGCCGGCGGCCUGGCCGCCAGGAUUUUUUGGAAACCCUAAAAUUACAACUUGCGCCGCCGUGGUCCCCCGUACAGUCAAACUUAGUCAACUCGAACUUAAGUAUUUCCCGACGGCCAGGCCGCCGGAAAAUUUUUAUAUAAGAAAAAAAAUUCCAGAUUUCUUUCAUUUUCUUUUCCCCCAAAAUCCUCUCCACUUCUCCCCACUCUUCCCUAACCCUCCCCAAACCCCUCCGACGAUCUUCCAGUCCUCCGGUCAUCCUCCAAGGUUAUCCGCAAGGUAUCUUCUUGAUCUUCAUUUAGUUUUGUUUUUCAAUGUUCUUCUACAUGUACUUGUUAUAUAUUUUUGUUCUUCUUCUUCUCUUCUUUUUGUUGUUGUUGUUCUUAUUCAUUUAAUCUUAUUCAUUUCAUUAUUUAGGGUUUAUGAAAUUGGGAGUUUAUGAUUUGUUAAAGUGUUCCAAAUUGAUAAUGUUAGUUAUUGUAGUUUUUUUCUUCUAAUUUAGGGUUUAUGAAAUUGGGGGUUUUUAAUUGGGGCUUUGAUUUUAUUUAUUAAGAGUGUUUGAUUUUUGUAUUUGAUCUUAUAUAUGUAGUUAGGGUAUGAUUUUGUGGAUGUUAUGUUGUUAGGGUUGUUAAGGAUGUUAUGAAAAUAAGGUGUCUCUUGAGAUAGUUUAAUAACACAAAAUAAGAAUAAGAAUGAAUUUUUCCAGUGUAUCUUUAAAUAAUGGAGUUUGAUUCAACAUACCACUAUAAACAAAUGAACCAAUCUUUCCAGUGACAAAAAAUAUUAAAGCAUAUUAUUUUAAUGUUUUGCAGAUAGGGAUAUUAAAACAUAAAUACAUAUCAAACAUUAGGGAUAUUACUGGAAUUAUAUUUAUUUAUCUAUAAAUACUGUUUGAAAUUUGUUUUUAAUGUUUUCUUGUUUUAUUUUAGUUAUUUAAUUACUGUUUUAGUUAAAAAAGAAAUAUGCAUGGUUUCCUGACAUUUAUUUACAUUGACUCGAUUCUAUAUGCGUCUCCUUUUCACAUUGACUCGAUUUUGAUACCAUGUUUUUGAAAGAUCGACUGACCUUAUAUUAUAUUAAUUACAGAGCUAGUUAUAUAAGAACUUGGAAGGAUUCAAUUGAUCACCUAAUACCCCGAGUAUUUGAGGUUGAAUUUCACUGCCAUUCCAUAUACCCCGAGUAUAUGAUUAAGAUUUUUUUUACUGCCAUUCCAAUUUCCUGUUAUUUUUAAUAUUUUAUAUUUUUUGUGACAUUGCUAUUUUUUUGUCUUUUAAAUUGAAAUAAGUAUUAUUGAAGUUAUUGAAUAAUUAAGUGUACAUGAUUUAUGUUAUUUAGGUUUAAUUCAUUUUAAUUUAGUGUUUGUUUAUUUUAGGUUGAAGGUUUGUUUUGCGGAUUUACAAAUUUGUGAUUUGAAGGCCGGUGUUAGUUUAGAAGCUUUGCGGACCAAUGUAAUAAUAUUUAUUCAUUUAAAUUUUUUUAAUCUAAUUAGUUAAUCUAAUUUGCAUGUUAGUUAGAAAUUAAUUAAUCUAAUUUGCAUACUAAGUAAUAGUAAAAUGAAAUGCAUGUUCUUAAAUUGUGUGAAUUGAAAAUGAAUGCAAAUUUUUUAAAAUGAAUUCUAUAAAAUGAAAUGUCAUGAAAUGAAAUGAAUUAAAAUACAUGAUUUAAAAAGAAUUCAUGAGUUGAAAUGAAAUUUAAAUUUAAAUAAAUGAAAUAAUUAUUUAAAUAAAUGUUUAGUAAUGUGAUUUUUAAUUAGUUUUUAAUAAAUGUUUAGUAAUUAUUUAUUAAUUAAAUUAUCUAAAAAUUAAAAUCACAUUUUUUAAUUAAUUGUUUAAAAAUUAAAAUGCCAUGUUAGGGUUAGAGUUAGGAUUGUAAUGUUUAGAAAUGCCAUGUUAGGGUUAGGGUUAGGAUUGUAAUUUUUUAUAAUUAAUAAUUAAAUAAAUAAUUAUUUAAUUAAAUUUAAAUAAUUAUUUAAUUAAUUAAUAAUUGAAAAAAAGUAACAAUCAGAUUUUGUAUAAGUGUGAUUGUUAGUUAGUUUUGAAAUAAUUGUUGAAUAAUCAAUUGUUAAUUAUUAAAAAAUAUUGGAAAAUCCAUAAAUCAGUUUUUAUAUUAAGAACUUGAUUUAAAAUCCAAUGUUGAAAACAAUUAUUUGAAAAUUAAAAUAAUUUAUUUAAUUAAUAAUUAAAUAAAUAAUUAUUUAAUUAAUUAAUUAAUUAAAAUAAUUAUUUAAUUAUUUAAUUAAUUAAUAAUUUAAAAAAAGUAACAAUCAGAUUUUGUAUAAGUGUGAUUGUUAGUUAGUUUUUCAAUAAUUGGUUAUUAAUCAAUUAUAAUUGUAUGUAUUUCAGCUGAAUGUCAGAAAUCCGCGUACCUGAUAAGACUUGGUUAAGUUUGAGCCCCUGUAGCCAAGAAUUCAGAGAUGGUCUCACGGCGUUUGUUCAAUAUGGUUUACGAAAAUGUUAUGGUUUAUAUAAGGAAGGAUAUUUACCAUGUCCAUGUACAGACUGUACCAAUAGAAAUGUGAUUCCAAUUGCCGAUUUACGUCAACACAUUUUCAUGAAUGGUUGGUUGACACAUUAUGUUAUAUGGACGAAACAUGGUGAGCGAACUUACGAUUCAGAACCAAACAUAGAAAAUAUAGUUGAAGAUGAACCAAACAAUGAAAUGCGUAAUUUGGU
rnacentral:lncRNA from 1 species